UAGGGAAUAUUGGACAAUGGGCGAAAGCCUGAUCCAGCCAUGCCGCGUGAGUGAUGAAGGCCUUAGGGUUGUAAAGCUCUUUUGUCAGGGAAGAUAAUGACGGUACCUGAAGAAUAAGUUCCGGCUAACUUCGUGCCAGCAGCCGCGGUAAUACGAAGGGAACUAGCGUUGUUCGGAAUCACUGGGCGUAAAGCGGGCGCAGGCGGACUAUCAAGUCAGAGGUGAAAGCCCAAGGCUCAACCUUGGAAUUGCCUUUGAAACUGAUAGUCUGGAGUAUGUGAGGGGAUAGCGGAAUUCCAAAUGUAGAGGUGAAAUUCGUAGAUAUUUGGAGGAACACCGGUGGCGAAGGCGGCUAUCUGGCACAUAACUGACGCUGAGGUCCGAAAGCGUGGGGAUCAAACAGG
rnacentral:rRNA from 1 species